AUUCCUAUCAUCCUCCCUUACAAUGGUUAUUUUCAGUGUUUUUAUCUUCAUUCUGUUGGUUGUGUAGUGGUAACUCAUGGUGUCUUUAAUUUGUGUUGCCCGAGGACUGAUGCUGCACACUUCACUUAUGUAUCUGUGUUGGUGAAAUACCAGCUCAAGUCUCUCAUCUGUUUUUGUUGUAUUAUUGCAUUGUUUGUCUUGUUGCGUUUUAAGCCUUCUUUAGAUGUUCUGGAUACAAGUCUUUUAUUAGGGUUGGGUAUUACAGUAUGUGGCUCC
rnacentral:lncRNA from 1 species